UAAAAAAGUGGGGCACCCUUUCAGAUAAAAACAUGGACCUGAUUGGCAUCAUCCGGUAUCCAUGGAAACGUUUGAAGUACCUCUCUCUCAAUAUGUACUUCUCUUAUUCAGGGUUUAAAAGCUGAGUACCGAAUAAAGAAAGAAGCGUAAGGUUGAACUACAUUUAUUUUCAAAACCAUCAUUCUGAAGAAGAUCCUUUGCAGGUUUUGUCAGGAGCUGGGGAAAAAAGCAAGAGGCAGCACUGGGGUACGUGCAUCUGGAUCCGUAGCGUCGCGCUGACGGAGCCUGCAGCCUGUGGGAGCUCAGUUUGUACAGACAGAUGUGUCUGCUGCUGUCUGCUCCGUAUCUGCUCGGUCUCCAUUUCUAGUUCAAAAAGGUGAAUACAUAGGUUGUUCUUUCUCUCUUUACUUCCUUUUCCUGCUCCUUGGAAUGAUAGAGGGAACUAAGCUCACCUUGACUUCCUUUCUUUGUCCCACCCUCCCAGCUCUUAGUGUGGCAGUAAGCAUUGUCCAGCCUUCCAACUUGUAGACAGAAAAAUUUCUAGUAGUAUUCGCACAUUCUGAAGAGCAGAGUUUUGCAGUAGCCACUUGUAUGUACAAAAAUGUAAUUCUAAUCUUCUGUUGUUUUUUUGGCAUUAAUGCACCAUAUUCACUGAGACUGAGACAAAACUGCUGCCUCUAAGAGCCACUGAUUUGGACAAUUAUCCAAAAUCAGAUUAUAAUAAAUGGCAGUCUUAGGAAUUUUGAUUAACCUCU
rnacentral:lncRNA from 1 species